rnacentral:rRNA from 1 species
GACGAACGCUGGCGGCGUGCCUAAUACAUGCAAGUAGGACGCAGUUGCGAACGGGUGAGUAACGCGUAGGUAACUGCCUAUUAGAGGGGGAUAACUAUUGGAAACGAUAGCUAAUACCGCAUACUAGUAGAUGGACCUGAGUUGUAUUAGCUAGUAAGUCGGGUAAUGGCCUACCUAGGAGACGAUACAUAGCCGACCGGAGAGGGUGAUCGGCCACACUGGGACGGGGACACGGCCCAGACCCCUACGGGAGGCAGCAGGAGGGAAUCUUCGGCAAUGGGGGGAACCCUGACCGAGCAACGGCGCGGGAGUGAAGAAGGUUUUCGGAGCGGAAAGCUCUGUUGUUCAGGAAGCGGUACUUAACCAGAAAGGGACGGCUAACUACGUGCCAGCAGCCGCGGUAAUUC